GUACACGCUGUGACUAGCAUAUCAAUAAGCGGAGGAAAAGAAACUAACAAGGAUUCCCUUAGUAACGGCGAGUGAAGCGGGAAGAGCUCAAAUUUGAAAUCUUCAAGGUUUUACCUUGACGAAUUGUAGUUUAAAGAAGUGUUUUCUGUUGAAGUUUUGGUAAAAGUUCUUUGGAAUAGGACAUCACAGAGGGUGAGAAUCCCGUCUAUGAUUGCGAUUUGUAGCUUUGUGAUACACUUUCAAAGAGUCGGGUUGUUUGGGAAUGCAGCCCAAAACGGGAGGUAAAUUUCUUCUAAGGCUAAAUAUUGGCGAGAGACCGAUAGCGAACAAGUACCGUGAGGGAAAGAUGAAAAGGACUUUGAAAAGAGAGUUAAAUAGUACGUGAAAUUGUCAAAAGGGAAGCGUUUAACACCAGUGUUGUUUUCUGAAAAUCAACCUCUGUUAGCUUUAUGCAUGUUUGUUUAGACCUAAUCAGCUAUCUUGCAUGUUCUAUUGUUUGCAGUGGUGCACUUUUCAGUUUACAGGUCAACAUCAGUUUUUUUUACCGUAAAAAAGUUAAAGAAAGGUAGCUCAUGGCUCCGGUCGUGAGUGUUAUAGUCUUUUUCCUAUGCGGUAGGAGAGACUGAGGUCUGCAGUGUAGGCUAUUUGGCUAGAUACUCAGGUGCUAUGUGAUACCAUUUCAUAAACAACUUGUUGAUUAUGUUUUGUCUAUUGCAUACUCGCUUGUACUAUCAUACCUACGCUUAGGAUGUUGACGCAUGAGAUAUACGC
rnacentral:rRNA from 1 species